GAUCAUGGCUCAGGAUGAACGCUAGCUACAGGCUUAACACAUGCAAGUCGAGGGGCAGCAUGGUCUUACUUGCUAAGGCCGAUGGCGACCGGCGCACGGGUGAGUAACGCGUACCCAACCUGCCUUACACUCUUGGACAGCCUUCUGAAAGGGGAGAUUAAUACAAGAUGUUAUCAUGAGUAAGCAUUUUCGCAUGAUUAAAGGUUUACCGGUGUAAGAUGGGGAUGCGUUCCAUUAG
rnacentral:rRNA from 1 species